UACGUAGGGUCCGAGCGUUGUCCGGAAUUACUGGGCGUAAAGAGCUCGUAGGUGGUUUGUCGCGUUGUUCGUGAAAACUCACAGCUUAACUGUGGGCGUGCGGGCGAUACGGGCAGACUUGAGUACUGCAGGGGAGACUGGAAUUCCUGGUGUAGCGGUGGAAUGCGCAGAUAUCAGGAGGAACACCGAUGGCGAAGGCAGGUCUCUGGGCCGAUACUGACGCUGAGGAGCGAAAGCGUGGGGAGCGAACAGG
rnacentral:rRNA from 1 species